AUAUUUUCGCGUAUAAUAGUAGCGCCCGAAUCUGCAUUUUGGAAACGCUUCUAAAAAAUUAUUUCGUAAACUCUUUUAAAAGUUACAUCUGUCUCGGAGGUGAGUUCGGUGAGCUCGGAGGUCUUAAAAUAAUUCGUUCUAAAAGUAACACGCCGCCACUUCUGUAGAUUUUCUGCAUUGGCACGAACCACCGAUGAGAGAACAACCAGGAUGGCUUUCUCAAUAACAUAAACCCAGUGUAUACUCACUUAUUUUAACACCUCAUGUAUAAUAUAAUCGAAAUCGAAAGCUACACGAAAUAAAAACUAUUCCUAUCCUACAUGGAAUGUAAAAUUUAUCGGUCUUUCGGGAAAAUCCGGAAAUAAUCAGCACUGGUCUCAACGGUGCGUACGGCUAUGUCGUUGAAAAUCGAAUUUAAUCGCAAUCAGUUCCGGCCGAUUUUCCAUUGUGUUAUAAAUAUACUCAAAAUGUAAUUGGCAAUGUUGUAGACGAAAAAAAUGUAACACGAGAAAACCAUU